AAACGUGAUUCAAGUUUUCGAGUAUUGAUUAUUUCUAGGAAAUAUCGAUCGGUCGCGUGAAUCUCCUUUUUGUUUUUCACGAUCGUUGAAGAUUUAUUUUUGAAUUAUUUUUUGAGAAGAAAAACAAAAGUUUGCGAGUAACAUCCUACUUUAAAUUUGGCUCCAGCCUUGGAAUAUCGACUAUUUCUACUGAAUAUCGAUUAUUCAUGAGUAUUCCCUUGUAUCUUGUGCUUUAUAUAUCAGAGGAUAUUUUGAAAUUAUCUUUAAGAAGGAGAACAGGAGACUACGAGUAUUAUCCUGCUUCGAAAUUAAUUUAAACUUUGGGAUAUUGAUUGUUUCUACUAAAUGUUCAUUGACUACGUGUAUUUUUUUACUUGGUAAUGGAACGAUCAUAGGAAACAUCUUUGAACUAUUUCCUAAAGAAGGAACGUCAGAGUAUAAAACUAAUAACUUGCUUGAAGUUUGAUUCAAGCCUUUGGAAUGGCUUAGAUCGAAUUAUUCGUUGAAACGUCCUGAACUUAUCGGUAAAGCUCCUUCGCGUUCUGAAGUCCGACGAAACAUUUCGUCGAUCUGAGACAGAAAAGAGAUACUGGUUUAUUCAAUUAAAGAUAAGUAACUGUCGUUUUUCAGCAAUGGAUUGCAGCGAGGAAGAGUUGACGAAAAUCAAUGUCUUCCGAUUAAACAUUCUCAUUCCACUGAUGGAGAUCUUGGACGUGUACGCGUCGUUUAAAGAAGAAUUAAGUCCAGAUGAGUUUUGCAUUCGUUUGUUUGUUAACGAAGGCUCGAGAGAAAAAUGCAAACCACAUCACGAUCCUGUUAUGGAACGUUUCAAGAAUAUCGAAGAAUUUAAGGCUUUGUCAGUUUCGUUGCAAAAUGUAAUCAUCGAUUUAUUCAUGAAUAUCGUUCGUUACACGGUUUUCUUGGACUCAAUAAGUAAAGAUUAUCUGGAUAAACAGAACUGUCGCAAUUACAACGAUUUGUCUCAGACCAUAGUGUUUGUGUACAUCUUAUCAUACAGAAUAUGCAGCUUGUUUUUCGAAGAUUCGAUCGAUUGCUUCGUUCGCUUUAAAGUAAAGAAAAUGUUGUCCCUCGUUGUAUAUCUUCUUCGCACGGAAACUCCCAAUCUUUUCCAUGAGAAGGGUUGCUUGACGUUCGAGGAAGAUUUCGUGGAGGGAAACCUGGUUCUGCCAUUUUUAGAGGCAACGCCGUGUUUAGAGAAACUACAGCAGCAGUUAAAGCAGCACAUACGAAAUACAAAGAUUCCUAAAAAGGAAUCGACUACUCCUGUGUUUAUGAACGUUUUAAAUCGACCAAGAACCGGUUUGAAAGUGCCACCCGGUACACCUGAACCAGUCGAGGUAAAACAGACAGCAGCUUCGACAUUAAGAGAGUGCGCGCGUGUGAUCAACAUGGAAGAGAAAGAAAUAAAAAGAUUGAAAGCAUUAGCCGAAGGAGGUACCGAUCCAGCUUCGAUACUGAAAUUCCAAGAAGAAAGGCGUCAGCAACAAAAAGAGGAAGAAUUAUUAAAGAUACAAGAGAAACAUCUAUUGGCUUUGCUAAGCCGUGAGAAUGCUUUCAUUGCGAAACAAUCGCUGUUGAACGAUGUGAAAGCGCACGCAGAAAGCGUUCGAAAGGAGAAGCAAGAACUUUACGACAAGUUGGAGAAAUGGAGAGAGAAUCACAACAGGGAGAUGAUGGAAAUCGUUGUAAAGUGCCGCGAAGUCGAACAAGCCUCUCGUGAAGCUUUCAAUGCCAUGGUCGACGAGAAAAGGCAGAAAGCCGCAGAGGUGACCGAAGAAUCGCGGCAAUUGAAAGCCCAGUUGGUCAAGCAGAGAGAGGAAGAAACUGGCAGGAAAAUUAAAUUGAUCCAAAAAAUUAAGACGCUUCAAUCUUUACGGGCAUUGCCAUCGAUCAAGGAUUUCGAUCCAACAGAAUCAAGCGGUCUUGGUCUUCUUUGUGAAAUGUCCUUGGCGGAGGCGUGCUGUUUUUCCGGCUAAAUCACGGCAACGAUUACAGCCUGUUAGCUCACCAGAGAUCGACGCGUUGCGAAAGAAACUGGAAGAACAGAAAUCACUAAGGUCACAGAAAGGAACGUAAGAUGGUACCUCUAAUAAUAUGACACGAACUGAAAAAAGAACAAUUGUUAUAAGAUAGAAACUCAUCGUGUUUAUUAUCUUGCACAACUCAGCUUGAAAUAAACCAAUAUUACGAUGUCUUGUUACGAUACGAUAAUCAACGUUACAAAUCAGCCGAUUCCCUAUUUCCGUUAAGAUAAUAGAGGUGAUUGAAAUUAUUAUAACACUGAGUUAACAGAUCAAAAAUACGCUUUAUUUACAACGACUUGAAAAACUUAAGUGUUUACACGUGGUGCGUGUAGACGUGUUCUCGACGAAGAGAAGUUAAGAUGUCAACUGAUCGAAGAUAGACUAGUAACAGUUUCGGUAACAGUGAUGAUAAAGAAGAAAACUACUGAUGGGUGUGUCUAGACGGGACUAUCGGAUUCCUUGAUAACAAUCUUGAUUAGGAAAGAAAGGGCAACAGUCGUCGUUGCUAAUCUGACGAGAAAGAGAUUGGCGAGUAAGGAUGGGUCCUGGUCGUCCCCAAUCAAAGUCGCUCGUGGAUGGCAUUGUACAUUGGAAAAACUCCUUUUCUCGUGUUUCCUCGGAAUGAAUAACAAUCCUAAGGAACGCUUCAACUUAAAACAUACUUUUUAUCUUAUGCAUAAACGAUUAAUUUAUAAUAUGCUUGAUGCAAAGUAUUCUUUCAACAAUAUCAAUCGUAUGUAAGUCGUUCUGUUAGAAAAAUGUACCAAAUGUCCAGCUGACAUUGUAAAGUACAAAUUAAAUGAUAAAAAAGAAGUUGUAAGUAUUGUAAGGUACAAAUUGUAAAGUACAAAUUAAAUGAUAAAAAAGAAGUCGUCCCAGAUUCCUCGAGCCAAACCUUGUUGAUACGUUCUAUAAGUGAAGGCAAAAUAAAAAUAUCAUAAAAAGACACAUAUACCAUUGGAAAUAUCGAUAAAGAGAUAUAGCAGGCAAUCGAUAUAGGAAAUACAGAUUACGAUGCAACGUGAGAGUCUAUGAUACAGGAGAUGAAUAGAUUGAAAACAUUUACAUUUUUUCCAAGACUAGAAAUUGAAGAGAUACGGCAAGAGAUUGAAUCUGCUACUUUUUGAAGUUCUCGCUUAUUACUCGUUUGAAUUGAACCUACCUCGCUGAAGAUAACGGUACCCAGUCUCGCUGGUAACUUAUAAAAAUACAAAAAUAUUAAACAAAAGAGAGAAAUGUGAAAUGCUUUCUAUACACACAGAUAGAAGGAAUGUGAGCAAGCAAUAAGAACGUAUAGAUACGAGACGGAAAACAUAGAAAAUUGUCAUUACGUAAUCAAGAACAUACACGAAUUUCAAAUUCAAAAUACAAGUCAUUAACAAAGGUAUUAUUAAGAUUACAGGAGACCAAUCAUAGGCAGGCUAAUCAUAAACUACAACCGUAAGCGAGUUUCAGUGUGUGUAAAGCCCGUCGAGGGGGGGCUUGCACAUAAAGAAAAAGCCUGUCAUCGUAGGAUUUUUAUCUAGUCGCUGGACGAUCACCGUCAGAUGUAUCUGUUCCGUUGCAUCGAUCCAUAAAUCUAUAAAUAAAGUUGUUCGAUAAUAUUAUAAGAAAAAUUUUGUUAUUUGAGAAAACUACUUAUUUUCUUCUAAAAAG